rnacentral:lncRNA from 10 species
CACGAUCCAGCUGCCAACCAUCUAGCCUACCCUGAUCUCUGAGCAGGGGUCGUCGUCAUUUUACUCCAGAGGAGACUGAAGCCAAAAGGGUCUCCCGCUGUAACCCAGGCUGGAAUGCAGUGGCGUGAUCACGGCUCACAGUGUUGCCCAGGCUGGGCGCAAACCAUCCUCCCGCCUCAGCCUCCCAGUGUUGGGAUUACAGGCGUGAGCCAUGGCACCCGGCUUCAUCUCUGUGCUUCCAGAGAGGUUAUUAAAUGAUGUGUCCAAGGGCACCAAAUGAGGCAGUGACAAAGCUAGGUCCAAGUCUGUUUCAAAGCCCAUUUUCUCCCUCUUGCUUAAGUUAUACCGCCUCCAAGGCAAAUGAGUUGUGUAAAGUGCCUAACUCCCUCUUGUGAUUCCCCAUUGCCCUCAGAAUAAAAAGUCUUAAACUCCCUACUAUGUCCUACAAA